UUUUCUUUUAAAGUAUGAUUGCUUUCCCAUGCACACAAACAACUUUGGAUGUGAUUCAUUAUUAUCAUUAGAAAUCAUCUUGAGAAAAAAAUUCAUUGUGAUUUUUGCCAGGGACUUUCUAGACUUUCAAAAAGCAGUAGCAUGUGUCCUGAAAACUUUUUAUGCUCAUUUAGAUUAACUCAAAAGCAGAAGCUUUGUGCAAGCAUAAAUCAAAAUUAAUGCAGUGAUAAAUCAGGCCCCCCAUCUUGGACCAUUCUGAGAUCUAAAUAAUAAACCACAGAAUCUCAAAUACAAGGAAGGUGCAGCCUGGUGGAAACUGGCCUAUUUGUUAACAUUGCAGGAUUAAUGUGUCUUCAGAAGAAAAGUUUUCUUAAGAAAUGAAGGAUAGACAAUUCUUUCAGAUUGCAGUUCCUACUUAAAACGCAUGACAAGAAAACUGUUUUUUCUCCUUGAAAGUUUGUGUAGCAUCAGGAUUCCUUUGCAUAAAAGAAAUACUACCUCAUAAUAAGAUAAAAAUGAGAAUAAAAAAAAAAAAACAAACCCAAAACAAAACCAAAAAAUCAAACCAGGAAGAAAACCUAAAAUUCAGCAAAAAUCAAUUGUAAAAAUUAUUUUUCUAGCCCUUGUGUUCAUAAACAAAUGCAUUGGCUCAGAUUUUUUGCUCUGUAAUGUUUAAAACUCCUAUCUAGUACUGUCUAUGCCAGCUGGGAUAACCAAUUUGGUGUGUUUGGGUGCCACUUCUAAUUCCAACCUGGUGCUCUAAGCCCCUCCAGUAUAGAAAUGUUAAUGCAGCAUUUCUUGACCAAAUGAUCAAAGAAAUCCUGCCAGAUCCAAGCUGGGCGGCAAAUUUGUCCUUUCCUCCCCCCUUGUGACCCUCUGUUCCUGCAACACACGUGAUAUUACCCCCAGUCUUGCUUUCCUCUGCCCUAGCAGUAUUCCCAGGAGGGUGGACGAAACCAUCCCAUAGGCUAGAUGUGCUCACCAGGUUGCCAUCCUUGAAACAAAUGAAAUUUUCUGAGAUCUUGAUUUUGCUCGAGCAACCAUAGCAAUGACCACAUAAGGAGUUAAAUGGCAGUAACGUGGGAUUUAAUGCUAGGUAGGAAGAAUGACAUCAGGUGAGAACGGGAUUGUCCAAUAGUGAUGUUAGAAGUUAUUCACAUCUCCUUGCAAGUUGAAAAGGGUAUUUGACUCAAAGAACUUUUUCUUUACAAGCUGUAAACUCAGAAUUAAACUACACAAAAAAAUGCUAAAUUGCAGAAGGUGGUGGGGUUUGGAAUUUGAGACGGUUCUGCACUUUUAUUUACAUUUCUUCAUCUGCAAAUACACUGACAUGCGAAUCGGCCUCUGCCCUCUGGUCAGUGGCUCUGGAGACACUUUCUGAUCUUGAAGGCAACUGUGCAAAGGGGGAAAGAGUACAUUUGGUUAAAACCCAGACUGGGGGGAGUUGAUGGCAGUCCUGAUGGCUGGCUCCCACAGCCAAGAGCUUUUACCAGACCUUGUGUGCUGGGAGCCCACGUUCCUUGGGACACCUGGUAGGGGUCAGAGCUGCCCACAUGGAGCUGGAUCCCAGCCAGCACCCUGUAUGUGGCAGGGCGAAAGGAAAGGGCCUGUGCUAUUACCACUGCUCCUGCCUCCCUGGGUGCGUUGGGAUCGGGGAGGCUCAUAACAGCUGUUGGAGCCAGUCCACCUGCGUGCUGCUCCCCGGCGUGCUGGAGAUGCCAGCAGAUCUCCAGGGGAGUGGAGAAGGCUGAGCAGCUAUUCCAAGAAACGACUGGAAUCUCUUAUCUGAAGAGGAGAAUUGCUGGUUCCGAGCAGCAGAACCAUGCCUGUUGUCAGUACCUGUCAGUUAUAUGAUUUUUGGCUACAAAAAAGGAAUGGACAAGAUGCGCUUUGUUCAUUCAUUUUGAACACGGCAUUUCAUUUAAAUUCUGUGUUGUGCCAUGCUGCAUGCUAGGAAAUGUACCCUAGGAUAUUUUUAAAGCUAUAAAAGUUCAGUAAAUGGAGACUUCCCUGCAGGACUCAGCUAUUAAAUCUUUGCCUGAAAGUGAGAGCCACGUCCAUUAAAAAAAAUCAUAUUCUGGUGAGACUAAUCACAUCUUUGUACUACUAAAGUAUGCUUAAAUUCAGAUGUUAAUCACAUAAAUAUUUGGCAGUUUUAUGUCCUGUAGAACAAACGCCGCAAUUUGGCAGAGUUAAAUAACUCCUUAUCUCUGAAGUUAUCUCGAGAACACGGAAAUAUGUGGGACGCCUUCAGGGCAAAGGCAGAACAUUUGCCACGUUGAGGCAAGAAGAAUCGCUUCCCUCGCCAUCACCUGGCCUGGCGCAGCCCCUCUGUGCUCCCAGAAGGAGCUGGGUGUUGCCAGCGGGUAUAGAUGUGAGGUUUGGGCCUUUGUACAGCGAGUGUGCAAGGGGUGGCGAGAGCCCACCCAGCCCCACUGGUACCCUGCAAGAUGCCUUACGUGGUGGUGGCAAGGAGCCGGGUGCAGGUGUGCAGCAGGCUUGUGCUCCCAACAGAAAAACAAGGUCUGGUAGAAGGGAGAGCUAGGAACUCCUUUGGAGGAGAUGGGUCAUAAAUCAUCCUCCUGCCUGUUGGCUUUAGCAGAGUCGUUCCAGGGCAGGAGUAAAGCUGUACAAAUGGUGUCCUGAGGUACGGCGUGGACCCAUUUCAUCCUCGCAGCCUUCACACAUCCAGUGCAAAGGGCAUAAUGCUGAAUAACUAAGAAUUUUAACCAAAUGUACUUUUUCCCCCUUUGCACCGUUGCCUUCAAGAUCAGAAAGUGUCUCCAGAGCCACCGACCAGAGGGUAGAGGCCGAUUUGCAUGUCAGUGUAUUUGCAGGUGAGAAAUGUAAAUAAAAGUGCAGAACCGUCUCAAAUUCCAAACCCCACCACCUUCUGCGAUUUCUUCCCGUAGUCAGGUAAGCUACGUAACAUAAACAAGUUGGUUGUUACUACGGGAAGAAAAUCCAAACAAACCAGAAUGUACGUAACAUGUUUCAUCCAUAACGAUGAUGAGGACAGUCAGGGGCCAGCCCAAUUGCUUUCCACGCACAACCAAGGGCUCAGACUACAAAUCUGAUAUGAGUAGCUGGGUGUGCAAUAACUGCAGAAUCAGCAUCUUGCGUUGAAAGGACUCCUGCAAAUCCUGCAGGAACAUUUCAGUACUAGAUGGUGUUGCUAUGGGCACCAGAAGGAAGCUUAAUAUAAGAGAAACUGUCUGAGGAAUUCAUGGGGGAUGGGUGUAAACAGAAAACGUACAUAGGAAUCGGAAUGUCCCUGGCACUAAAAAGCAAAUGGCAUUUUGGGGUUUUUAAUGUUCUGCUAGUAACAUUUCAGUGUACGUCUUUCCAGAAGGAAAAUAUGAGCUGAUACCUUUUUUCAAGUUGCCUAAAGUGAAAGACGGGUAAAUAGAUCUGGCUCUGUACGGUGUAUCUGCAUCCCGUGUAGGAGAUGCAUAAUGAAAUCUGGAUGCUCCAGACAUAAUUUUUCCAUUAGGGCAGAUGUUCAAAAUGGGAACAGAAAAUGAAGGAAACAGAAGAACUGCAGUUCCCUCUAGUACUCAGGAAAAAAGAUCCCACUCUGCCUUUGAGGACAGUUCAAACUUUAGGAAAAAAUCACAUCGGCAAGGGACAGCCAGAUGAUUUAAUUCAUGGCUAGAUUUCACCCGUUCUGGCUGCCUCUCUGCCGGUGUAGGCUGCCUAAGUGGAUGAAAAGAAAGAAAAAGUAACCAGUGUAGAAUAACUGUGAGUGUAUGUCAAGACAGACAAUGAGAAUGCAAAAUUAAAUUCUUGAUGUGAAAAGGAUGGGACAAUGAGCCUCUCUCCCUAAGAUACCUUCAGAGAGGAUUCCAUUUCAGCGCUUUCUUUCUUGCUUGCUUGCAUUAUUUUUCAUUGACGCGUCCCAAAGAAAGGCUGAAAGCCUUUUAUUAUUUAUUUUCUUUUUCUUUCUAGUAUGUGGUAUAAGUUCUUUUUUUAUAUAUAUAUUAUUUUCCUGCCAAUGUUAAAGCAGUUCCCAUUUUUCUAGUUUGUUUCUGACACCUAGCUGUGAUCAACAAUGCUUCCCACUGAAUCACUUCUUUCAUCUAUUCAGCUUCUGUUAUUUCCCUUAUCUCCUCUCCCCCCUUCACCAGCUUACCUCUCAUUAACCCUCAGGGUUCCAAACAUAUUGUAUCUCUCCCAAAGACACAUACUUUUAUUCAGACAUAAGUCAUUUUUGCUCGCUAGCCUCAGUUUCCAUAAUUCCCUAAUAGAAUAGCUGUGUGUAGUACAUACUCUUUACGGCGCGGUGAACAAUACACCCAGACGUUAAUUUAUACUCUUGCAUUGUAUGCUGUUCCACUUCACCUUUUUCCCCCUCUGAACUGAUCGUCACACAAAACCUCAUUCUUCUCUAACAUAGGAAAUAUAGUUCAAUGCACACAUAAAAAUCUGCUUGGCUAGCAAUUUUGUUUGAUCAACAAAACUAUUAUUUUCUAAGAGCGACUUUAACCCAUGGCGAUAUAUUUAAAAUCAUGUUUUAACUUUAAAAAGUGGUGGUAGUGAUAGACUAAGCUACAUUUCUGCUAGUAUAGAAUAUACAGGAGGCUUCUAGGAAAUAAGCUCUCUCUUAUCCACGCCAGUAUAUUUAUGGCUCAUGUACAACUGCCUUUACUCUUCUGAGGACGAAAAUGAUGCAAAAUCCAAGAGAUUUUAAUUCCUGACUGGUAGCUAUAACUUUUGUGAUUGAAACCGAUGAAAACAGCUGGAAAUACAUCCAGCUAUUCACGUAGACUUCCCUCUAUGCUCUCCCUCCAGUUAACUGUGUAACCUAGCUCCUAUCCUGAGGUCCUUUCCCAGCUAAAAUUCAUACAAAGGUUUUGGAAAUGUGUGCUGUGUAGCAGGAGGUCAGAGUGUAAGUUCAGACGCACACAGAAGGGUCAUUGCUCAUCCUGGUAAACGGCGUACCUGUGUCAAUAAGCUUACACAGGCAUCUGUACUAAGAAAAAACAAGGUAAUAUACGGGAGAUUAUGUAAAUAACUUCAGAAUUCAUCAUGGAUGUGAAAAGAAAACAUGUUUUGGAAAACACGUUUGCUCCUUGCUACUUCAAGCAUUAUUAACACUGGCUCUUAAGAAAGGUUAUUUAACACUCAGGGAAAGAUUUGCUUUGUUCAUACAUUAAUGGGCACGUUUAUUGGAAUCAGGUGGAUGUUUUUAUGUAUCAUGUUAAAGAUACUGAACUGUGUGAAUGGAUUCAUCUGUCUCAACUUAAAAACUAACAGUUUCAUGAGCUGAUGUUCAUAAAACACAGAUUAUUUUUCUUUUUUAAUUUGGGCAACAGUUCUCCCGAUUGUAUUAAGUAAAGCCUCGUUACCACUUGACUGUAUGAAGCAUCUUCUACCAAAAAAAACCAAAAAACCAAAAAAAAAAACCACUUAGAAAAAUGAAUGCAUCCUUCAUAUUUUUAAAUGAAAUGUUUAUACUAAUUUAUGGUAAACUUUCUCAAAAUUCAGUAAGAUUCUAGCACAGUUCAGUGCUGUCUUUUGAGCAAAAGCAAAUCACACCCAAUAACAUUCUUGCAGAUGUUAAAAAUAAUUCUCAUCACUAAAAAUUUCAAGUUCAUGCCAGGAGCAAAAUAAAUAUUUAAGUUACAUUUUGUGCAAGUAGCCCUUGCUAAUUUAAUCCUGAGAGAUACUCAGUCCUUUAUAACUUAAUCUCUCCUUCAUCUUAUGUUUGUUACUUCAGAAGGUUAGUUUUCAAUUACAGACGAACUUACUGCUGCGUCAAAGGUUUAAUUGAGCUCCUUUUAAAGUAUCACAAUUGUCACUAUAAAAUCCUGCAUCCGCAGUAAGUGCGUUUACAGAGAACUUACAGCUUUAAAUUUCACUUGGAAAAAAAAAAGCCUUAUACUUUCCUGCAGGUUUUGAAUGCUGAUUUACUAUAAAAUAAGUGAAUAAUAAUACCGGGUUAUUUUGGAAAGUGUUCUUUCAUGCAAUCCCUGCAUUUAGCACAAUCCCAAAAUGGCAGCCCAACAGGUGGUCCUUUCACCGCCUUCAGCCCAAACAAUCGGAACAAAAAGGGACACCAAGAAUCGAAUGUGCUUCAGGAUUUAAAAAGCUGUUCACUUCCCUUUGUUCAUUUUCAGAUUUAGCCAUGUUCAUUAUUGUUGAGCCACAAAUGCAGGACAUUCUUUUUCGACCAUUGGCCAUAAAUAGACACUGACGGAGGCUGACUAGCCAGCUAGCUGCUUUGUCACAUGCAAGCGGAAACCGCCUCACAAAGCCGAUGCAUUCCUGGUGCCUCAAUGGCCCUGGCAAGCACCGGUUGUGACACGCUGCAAAUCUGGCAAAGUCGAGCUUAACAAAAGUAUGGGUGACAAAGGCUGGAGUUUCUCUUCCUAUAUUUGCCUCUGUGCGAUCUCAGGCUCAACACGUGUAACAAAAGAUGGGCCCGGUCCUAUGAGUCUUUAAUGAUGCCGGGAGACUUUACAGCUGCCUUCGCCGCUCAGCGAGGGAUUACUGGCACAAGGAACAGGGGCAGAGGCACCAACCAGCCCUUCUUCCCUCGGGGGUACGAAUAAAUGCAUAAAACAUACGUUUUGUAGAAAAGGCAGAGCUAUAAUGAUACCUCACUGUCCAAGCAGACCAAAUUCAAUACUUCCAGGCUCUUCCACUGCUAUUACCUUGGGGAUUUUCCAGUGUGAGUCCAGGGCUUCUGACGCCUGCCGCAAU